rnacentral:rRNA from 1 species
AGUUUUCUUUGUUGGGGUUGCGGACAUAUCAUAACGAAGAGGUAUCGUAAUUGAAGAGGUUUGGAAAGACCCACCACAGAAGGUAAUAGUCCUGUAUGUUAAACGAGAAGACUUUAGAUAUGAUCCAGAGUACCACGGGACACGUGAAACCCUGUGGGAAGCAGGAGGGACCACCCUCCAAGGCUAAAUACUACCUAGUGACCGAUAGCGUAUAGUACCGUGAGGGAAAGGUGAAAAGAACCCCGGGAGGGGAGUGAAAUAGAACCUGAAACCCUGCACUUACAAGCUGUGGAAGCACAUUUCUUGUGUGACCGCGUACUUUUUGUAGAACGGGCCAACGAGUUACGUUAAGUAGCAAGGUUAAGCACUUAAGGUGCGGAGCCGUAGCGAAAGCGAGUUUUAACUGAGCGUUCAGUUACUUGACGUAGACCCGAAACCGGGCGACCUACCCAUGAGCAGGAUGAAGCGAAAGUAAAAUUUCGUGGAGGUCCGAACCCACGAGCGUUGAAAAGCUCGGGGAUGACUUGUGGGUAGCGGUGAAAUUCCAAUCGAGCCCGGAGAUAGCUGGUUCUCCCCGAAAUAGCUUUAGGGCUAGCCUCAAGGUGAGAGAUACGGAGGUAGAGCACUGAAUGUCCUAGGGGGUAUUGCACCUACCGAAGACUAUCAAACUCCGAAUGCCGUCAUCUUAUACUUGGGAGUCAGACUGUGGGUGAUAAGAUUCAUAGUCGAAAGGGCAACAGCCCAGAUCGUCAGCUAAGGUCCCUAAAUGUAAGUUAAGUGGUAAAGGAUGUGGGAUUGCACAGACAACCAGGAUGUUGGCUUAGAAGCAGCCACUCAUUCAAAGAGUGCGUAAUAGCUCACUGGUCGAGUGAUCCUGCGCCGAAGAUUUCCGGGGCUAAAACUUACUACCGAAGCUACGGCAUCAGUAAUGAUGGGUAGGGGAGCUUCCCAUACGGGUUGAAGCAUGACCGUAAGGACAUGUGGACAGUAUGGGAGUGAGAAUGUUGGCAUGAGUAGCGAGAUGUGGGUGAGAAUCCCACAGGCCGUAAACCCAAGG